rnacentral:rRNA from 1 species
CAUUCCUACGGGAGGCAGCAGUGAGGAAUAUUGGUCAAUGGCCGGAAGGCUGAACCAGCCAAGCCGCGUGAAGGACGAAGGUGCCAAGCAUUGUAAACUUCUUUUGUCAAGGGACAAAAUCAGGCUCGAGAGCCUGACCGAGGGUACUUGAAGAAAAAGCAUCGGCUAACUCCGUGCCAGCAGCCGCGGUAAUACGGAGGAUGCGAGCGUUAUCCGGAUUUAUUGGGUUUAAAGUGUGCGUAGGCGGAUUGAUAAGUUAGAGGGGAAAUGUCCGG